rnacentral:lncRNA from 1 species
AAAAGUAUAAAAACCCCACCACUCUCCUCUCUUUCUCAAAGCUAGUACUAUACUGAGAGAGUGAUGAAAACAGAGGAAACAGAGACAUGGCACAAACCCAAGAAUGGGAGUGUCUUCCCUGCAAAGAAACGUUCUGUGAAGCAAAUGAUAUGGAAUCAUUUUGUUGAUUCCAUGAAGGGUUCAAGUUCCGACACGGUUUCUCCGCCUCCUCCUCGGCCGUCAAAGUCUAACAGUAAUGUACACCCCUGUUCUGAUUCAUCUGGAUUGUAACUUUUUCUGUAUUAUUUUCUAUUAUUAAAUGUAGUUGAGGUUACUUUUGUGAGAUAUUUUCCAUUUUCGAUAGAGUUUGUGUUUGUAUUCUUAGGUAUAUAAUGAAUAUCUUUUACAAAUUUCUCAGUCAGUGUGUUUAUUAUAGAUAUUGAGGUAAUCUCUAUUUCAUCCAUCUUCGCUCUUGGAAAGGGAGACUUAGUUAUGUUAUUUGGACACAUUCAAAUUUGGAAGCCGUCUCUUAGAGAUAAAAAGUUUGUCAAAUAUUCAUUUCUUUUUCUACAAAAUGUACUUGAAAAUGUUUUUAAGUAAGAGAUAAUAAGUUGGUUAAUGCAAUUCAAUAACCUAAUUCAAU